CUCUUGGUUAGCUGAGUUGGUAGAGUGCUCCACUGGAAAUGGAGAGGUCCCCGGUUCAAUAACAGGGCCAGGCGG
rnacentral:tRNA from 1 species